rnacentral:rRNA from 1 species
UCUGGUUGAUCCUGCCGGACCUGACUGCUAUCGGAUUGGUACUAAGCCAUGCGAGUCAUUGUAGCAAUACAAGGCGGACGGCUCAGUAACACGUAGUCAACCUAACUCGUGGACGUGGAUAACCUCGGGAAACUGAGAAUAAACCACGAUAGAUCAUAGUGCCUGGAAUGGCUUAUGGUCCAAACAGUUUACUGCCAUGGGAUGGGACUGCGGCCUAUCAGCUUGUUGGUGAGGUAAUGGCCCACCAAGGCGAUUACAGGUACGGGCUCUGAGAGGAGAAGCCCGGAGAUGGGUACUGAGACACGGACCCAGGCCCUAUGGGGCGCAGCAGGCGAGAAACCUUAGCAAUGUGCGAAAGCACGACUGGGUCAGUCCGAGUGAUUCCUGAUAAAGGAGUCUUUUGCUUGUCCUAAAAGCACAGGUGAAUAAGGGGUGGGCAAGUCUGGUGUCAGCCGCCGCGGUAAUACCAGCACCUCGAGUGGUCAGGACGUUUAUUGGGCCUAAAGCAUCCGUAGCCGGCUUUGCAAGUCUUCGGUUAAAUCCACCUGCUCAACAGAUGGGCCGCUGGAGAUACUACAAAGCUAGGGAGUGGGAGAGGCAGACGGUAUUCAGUGGGUAGGGGUAAAAUCCUCUGAUCCAUUGAGGACCACCAGUGGCGAAGGCGGUCUGCCAGAACACGUUCGACGGUGAAGGAUGAAAGCUGGGGGAGCAAACCGGAUCAGAUACCCGGGUAGUCCCAGCUGUAAACGAUGCAAACUCGGUGAUGCAUUGGCUUAUGGCCAAUGCAGUGCCGCAGGGAAGCCGUUAAGUUUGCCGCCUGGGAAGUACGGACGCAAGUCUGAAACUUAAAGGAAUUGGCGGGGGAGCACCACAAGGGGUGAAGCCUGCGGUUCAAUUGGAUUCAACGCCGGA